UUCUGGCAACAGGGCGGUAGACUGUCGGAGACACAACAGGAACACUAGAAUCGCUUAUGUCAGAUCCCGAUGGACUACCGGGGCUCAUGUAGAGUGCGUUGGAGCCGUUGACGGCAGCGCCGGCGCUGGCCGAUUUCUUCAUAGGCUGUACGUUCGGAUCCGCUUCAUACCCCUCAUUCAUCAUCGAGGAACACUUUCGCUUCAGCGUGGAAUUCCAG
rnacentral:misc_RNA from 1 species